GAUAGAUUGCGAUUGAGAUAGUGAAUAGUGAUAGUAUUUUUUGGAUAUUAUUCCAUUUAAAUUAGUUUCUAUAGGACACGGAAGUAGAUUAUAUAUUGUUUUCUUGGUUUUAGAACUUCAUUUUUGUGUCGAGUAAGCUAGUGCAAUUUAUUUAAAUGUACUAAUUUUAGUAGCAAAUCGCUAACUAGAGUGUAGUUUUCUCCGCCAGAAUGUAUUGGAUUUUUUGUUGAAGAAUCCCUUUCAUUGCCCACAUCAGAUUCAAGCUUCUGGGAAAAAUCUGCUUCAAUCAUGUAGUGAAAGGUCUGCAUAUUAAAACUGCGCAACACAACGAGAAGCUAAGUCCCAUCCUGGUCCCUGAUUAAGAGGUGACGUAUCACUACACUCCACUACCAAUGUCAACUAUCUCCUGACAUGAACUGAAGCCAUGUUUCAUGUUCCCUCUCAUCCACUGGCACAUUGAAUGUUUCCUCUCCAGGCACUUCAAAUCCUUUCUUGCCCUCAGAUUUACUACAACAUUCGAUAGGAAGUACUACACUACAACUGUCACGACUUCCUCCGAGGCUGCCUCCUCUCCUUGUUCGGGCAGGCUUCGGCAUUCGUCGUC